GGGAUUAACGCUGGCGGCGUGCAUGAAACAUGCAAGUCGAGCGCGGUGUGAUGCGGGGUAACCCAAUUCACAUCUAGCGGCGAACGGGUGAGUAACACGUGAGCAACCUACCUUUGAGUUGGGGAUAGCCCUGGGAAACCAGGAUUAAUACCCGAUGUGAUCACAACAGGACAUCCUGAUGUGAGUAAAGGCGUAAGCCGCUCAAUGACGGGCUCGCGGCCUAUUAGCUUGUUGGUGGGGUAACGGCCUACCAAGGCGAUGAUGGGUAGCUGGUCUGAGAGGACGAUCAGCCACACUGGGACUGAGACACGGCCCAGACUCCUACGGGAGGCAGCAGUUAGGAAUUUUCCGCAAUGGGCGAAAGCCUGACGGAGCAACGCCGCGUGAGUGAUGAAGCCCCUUGGGGUGUAAACUCCUUUCGAUCGGGAAGAUAAUGACGGUACCGAUAUAAGAAGCCCCGGCUAACUUCGUGCCAGCAGCCGCGGU
rnacentral:rRNA from 1 species